rnacentral:tRNA from 2 species
GCCGGCGUAGCUCAGUUGGUAGAGCAUCUGAUUUGUAAUCAGAGGGUCGGGGGUUCAAGUCCCUUCGCCGGCU